CCCUUAGAUGUCCUGGGCCGCACGCGCGCUACACUGACAUGUUCAACAAGCCUCCUAGUUCGACAGGAUUUGGGAAAUCUUUGAACGCAUGUCGUGAUAGGGAUAGAUCAUUGCAAUUAUUGAUCUUGAACGAGGAAUUCCUAGUAAACGCGAGUCAUCAGCUCGCAUUGAUUACGUCCCCGCCCUUUGUACACACCGCCCGUCGCACCUACCGAUUGAAUGUUUCGGUGAAGAUUCCGGAUAGGACUUUUUUGAUUUAUUUCAAUUUUGUCUUAAAAGCUAUCUAAACCUCAACAUUUAGAGGAAGGUGAAGUCGUAACA
rnacentral:rRNA from 1 species